AAAACUUUCAACAACGGAUCUCUUGGUUCUGGCAUCGAUGAAGAACGUAGCGAAAUGCGAUAAGUAAUGUGAAUUGCAGAAUUCAGCGAAUCAUCGAAUCUUUGAACGCACAUUGCGCCCGCCAGCACUCUGGCGGGCAUGCCUGUCCGAGCGUCAUUUCAACCC
rnacentral:rRNA from 1 species